rnacentral:rRNA from 1 species
AUUGAACGCUGGCGGCAGGCCUAACACAUGCAAGUCGAACGAGUGGCGGACGGGUGAGUAAUGUCUGGGAAACUGCCUGAUGGAGGGGGAUAACUCCUGGAAACGGUAGCUAAUACCGCAUACCAUCAGAUGUGCCCAGAUGGGAGUAGCUAGUAGGUGGGGUAACGGAUCACCUAGGCGACGAUCCCUAGCUGGUCUGAGAGGAUGACCAGCCACACUGUGACGGAGCCACGGUCCAGACUCCUACGGGAGGAAGCAGUGGGGAAUAUUGCACAAUGGGCGCAAGCCUGAUGCAGCCAUGCCGCGUGUAUGAAGAAGGCCUUCGGGUUGUAAAGUACUUUCAGCGGGGAGGCGUUACCCGCAGAAGAAGCACCGGCUAACGCCGUGCCAGCCGCGGCGGUAAUUC